rnacentral:tRNA from 1 species
UGUGACCUAGUGUAAUAAAUGCACAUAGAACUUUGAAUUCUAUAGAGGGUAUCCCCGGUUACAA